UGCAGAAAGCAUGUGGGAGCUGUCUGCAGGGACUAUCUGGCAGCCUGACAUGGGCCAUGCUAACUCCUCAUCCUGUUGUAUGUGUACUAACUCCUCUCCAUUUUUGUCUCAUUGUCCAGUCUUGGUGAGAGAGGCCGGGAUGGAAACCAACAAAUGCAGGCCGUGAGCACCUCAGGAGCAGUAUGGACUCCAAAGGGUCACUCCUGGAGAAAUGGCUGUCUGUGAGGCUCCUGCUAUGAGAAAGAGCAGCCUGGAGAAGAGUUGAAGCUUUUAAACUUGUAGAUUUCCCCAAUAGCCAUUUUAGACAUGUUCUUAAUGUCCAGACUGAGAAAUAAAACCUCCCUUUGUAUCAA